UGGGUGCACGUGUUAAUCGGAAAAGUGGUC
rnacentral:piRNA from 1 species